AUGUUCGAUGGGUCAGUAAACUUUAUGGUUGCAAACCAUGGAGAGAUUCAGAAGACAACUAAGCUGCUGACAUUGCUGUACUUGCACAACCACCUUCUUGAGCAUGAUGUUGGAAAGCACAUGCCAAGGCUAGAGAAGCACCUAAACAUGAUAAACAUGCUUCUUUCAGGUGGUACUGGAGGUCCUAGUACUAGCACCGCACCAUUGCUACCAAGAGUGCUUGAUGGACUGUUUGGAGGUAGGUCAUCAUUUAGUGGAACACCAUGGAACAGGGUGCGCCAUAAUAUUAGAGAACCUCAGAGCACACUUGUGUUAAACCAUGUGCCUAUUAGGUUAGCCCCUGUGAACCUACCUGUAGCAAGGCCAGAACUAGUAGAAGAGCAAAAUAUCAAAGGCACAGGAACUGUACAGCAAACCAAUGGGAGUGCUUUUUCAAGUUAUGGAGGAGAUAAUGCUGGGAAGGAGGCUACAACAAGCGCCGGGCAGAGCACUUUAACAAAGAGACCAAGAGAGGAAAAUUCAAGGGAUGAUCGUGGUAAGGAGGCUGCAAUAGAUGAUGCACAACUGUUUGAUAAUAGAGAUGGCGUUCAAAAUGCAAUUGACAUUGCCGGCUGCAGUGAUAUUAGUGUUAAUGCUUCUCCAAAGAGACCACAUGCUGAUAUUGAAACAAAGUCUGGUGGCAAGGAGCUUAUAGUUUACACAGCAACAAGAUGUAGACGUGCUAGAUUAGAACCGAACUACUUGAUGAGGGAGAGACAUGUUCACUCAGAUUUGCCUCUAGCGGAAAACCCUUUCCACUACAACAAAAGGAUAGAAUUCCCUAGUCGCAGGACAGCAAAAGAAUUAUAUGAUAGAUUGUUGUUCUCUGACUCAACCACAACAAAAAAGCUAUGGUUUGUUCACACUAUACCAACACUGCUCAAAAUUAGUGGAUCGGAGCUCAUUGAAUGUUUCCAAGAGUUUGGCCUAUUUACAAGACUUACAAGUGUAUUAGAAGGACGCUGGAUGAAAAUGAACGCGGAUGGUAUGGAAUAG
rnacentral:rRNA from 1 species